CGGAGCGUAGCGCAGUCUGGUAGCGCACCUGGUUUGGGACCAGGGGGUCGCCGGUUCGAUCCCGGCCGCUCCGACCA
rnacentral:tRNA from 1 species